rnacentral:lncRNA from 10 species
UUUCAUUAUAAAACAGAAGACAAACACAUAGACGAAGCUGUAAGAAAGAAAGACCUCAUUGUCUAAUGAUAAGUCCUUGAGUACAUGAAAGCAGUAACUGCAGUAAACAGGCAAAGCCACUGAACUUAUCCAUACUUGAAGGGUACAGACAAGCCUCUGGGGGCACUAGAGAAGGCAAGAUGACUCCAUACACUGGAAUGCUACCAGGGUGGACUAGAAAUGACUGAACAGUAUUUAUAGGCAGUGUGCAAAGUGACAAAUAUACAACCCCACAAAGCAACUCGAGUAUUAUUCCAAGUGCCUUCAUGUCUCACUCUGAAAAUGGAGCCAACACUGCACGCUGAAGCAUCUCCUUUGGUAGUGGACUGAACCUAAUGCAUGCCUGUAAACUGAUAGUAAGAUCUAGAGCUUGAUGGGCUUCAGGAAAGACUUUUUGGCAGGAAUACUUCAAGUGAGGUAUGAUGUACUUGCAUCGGGAAGCACAUAUAGCAAGUCCUCUAAUAUCAGCCUUUCAUUGAAUGCCUUUCACUAUAUAAGGGAAUAAACAUCAAUUCC